AGCGAACGCUGGCGGCAGGCUUAACACAUGCAAGUCGAGCGGGCACUUUCGGGUGUCAGCGGCGGACGGGUGAGUAACGCGUGGGAACGUGCCCUCUGGUUCGGAAUAACUCAGGGAAACUUGAGCUAAUACCGGAUACGCCCUUUUGGGGAAAGGCUUGCUGCCGGAGGAUCGGCCCGCGUCUGAUUAGCUAGUUGGUGAGGUAACGGCUCACCAAGGCGACGAUCAGUAGCUGGGCUGAGAGGAUGAUCAGCCACACUGGGACUGAGACACGGCCCAGACUCCUACGGGAGGCAGCAGUGGGGAAUAUUGGACAAUGGGCUCAAGCCUGAUCCAGCCAUGCCGCGUGAGUGAUGAAGGCCUUAGGGUUGUAAAGCUCUUUUAUCCGGGACGAUAAUGACGGUACCGGAGGAAUAAGCCCCGGCUAACUUCGUG
rnacentral:rRNA from 1 species